CCGGAUUAGUCUAGUAGCGGCCUCAGUUAUUUAUUUAUUUAAUUAAUUUUUAACAUGCAUAUUCCAAUCAACAGAUUUUAUGUCCAACAAGCUGCACUGAGAAUGAUGUAAUAUAAUUCCUCAUAAUUCCAUGUUGUUCUUUCUUUUUCCUUUUCUUUCAUUUGGGGAAUGAGGAGUGAUGCUGUUAGGGGUUUGAAGGUUAGGGAAGAGAGGGG
rnacentral:misc_RNA from 1 species